AGUGCGCAUGCGUUUGACGGCGGUGCAGGGCGGGGAGCACAACGCUGCGAAGUGCCGGGCACCCUUUGGGCGGCUCCCGCCGGCGAGCUGGACAGCGGCGCGCGCCAGGCGUGGCUUUCUCGGCCGGUGGGCUAGGAUUGGACGCAACACCAUGGCCGAGCCUCUGAAGGAGGAAGACGGCGAGGACGGCUCUGCGGAGCCCCCCGGGCCCGUGAAGGCCGAACCCGCCCACACCGCUGCCUCUGUAGCGGCCAAGAACCUGGCCCUGCUUAAAGCCCGCUCCUUCGAUGUGACCUUUGACGUGGGCGACGAGUACGAGAUCAUCGAGACCAUAGGCAACGGGGCCUAUGGAGUGGUGUCCUCCGCCCGCCGCCGCCUCACCGGCCAGCAGGUGGCCAUCAAGAAGAUCCCUAAUGCUUUCGAUGUGGUGACCAAUGCCAAGCGGACCCUCAGGGAGCUGAAGAUCCUCAAGCACUUUAAGCACGACAACAUCAUCGCCAUCAAGGACAUCCUGAGGCCCACCGUGCCCUAUGGCGAAUUCAAAUCUGUCCCCUACGGGGUCCCAGGCUACGUGGUCCUGGACCUGAUGGAAAGCGACCUGCACCAGAUCAUCCACUCCUCACAGCCCCUCACACUGGAACACGUGCGCUACUUCCUGUACCAACUGCUGCGGGGCCUGAAGUACAUGCACUCGGCUCAGGUCAUCCACCGUGACCUCAAGCCCUCCAACCUAUUGGUGAAUGAGAACUGUGAGCUCAAGAUUGGUGACUUUGGUAUGGCUCGUGGCCUGUGCACCUCGCCCGCUGAACAUCAGUACUUCAUGACGGAGUAUGUGGCCACGCGCUGGUACCGUGCGCCCGAGCUCAUGCUCUCUUUGCAUGAGUAUACACAGGCUAUUGACCUCUGGUCUGUGGGCUGCAUCUUUGGUGAGAUGCUGGCCCGGCGCCAGCUCUUCCCAGGCAAAAACUAUGUACACCAGCUACAGCUCAUCAUGAUGGUGCUGGGUACCCCAUCACCAGCCGUGAUUCAGGCUGUGGGGGCUGAGAGGGUGCGGGCCUAUAUCCAGAGCUUGCCACCACGCCAGCCUGUGCCCUGGGAGACAGUGUACCCAGGUGCCGACCGCCAGGCCCUAUCACUGCUGGGUCGCAUGCUGCGUUUUGAGCCCAGCGCCCGCAUCUCAGCAGCUGCUGCCCUUCGCCACCCUUUCCUGGCCAAGUACCAUGAUCCUGAUGAUGAGCCUGACUGUGCCCCGCCCUUUGACUUUGCCUUUGACCGCGAAGCCCUCACUCGGGAGCGCAUUAAGGAGGCCAUUGUGGCUGAAAUUGAGGACUUCCAUGCAAGGCGUGAGGGCAUCCGCCAACAGAUCCGCUUCCAGCCUUCUCUACAGCCUGUGGCUAGUGAGCCUGGCUGUCCAGAUGUUGAAAUGCCCAGUCCCUGGGCUCCCAGUGGGGACUGUGCCAUGGAGUCUCCACCACCAGCCCCGCUACCGUGCCCUGGCCCUGCACCUGACACUAUUGAUCUGACCCUGCAGCCACCUCCACCAGCCAGUGAGCCUGCCCCACCAAAGAAAGAGGGUGCCAUCUCAGACAAUACUAAGGCUGCCCUUAAAGCUGCCCUGCUCAAGUCUUUGAGGAGCCGGCUCAGAGAUGGCCCCAGCGCACCCCUGGAGGCUCCUGAACCUCGGAAGCCGGUGACAGCCCAGGAGCGCCAGCGGGAGCGGGAGGAGAAGCGGCGGAGGCGGCAAGAACGAGCCAAGGAGCGGGAGAAACGGCGGCAGGAGCGGGAGCGAAAGGAACGGGGGGCUGGGGCCUCUGGGGGCCCCUCCACUGACCCCUUGGCUGGACUAGUGCUCAGUGACAAUGACAGAAGCCUGUUAGAACGCUGGACUCGAAUGGCCCGGCCCCCAGCCCCAGCCCCCACCUCUGUGCCGGCCCCUGCCCCAGCGCCAACGCCAACCCCAGCCCAACCUACCAGUCCUCCUCCUGGCCCUGUAGCCCAGCCCACUGGCCCGCAACCACAACCUGCGGGCUCUACCUCUGGCCCUGUACCCCAGCCUGCCUGCCCACCCCCUGGCCCUGCACCCCACCCCACUGGCCCUCCUGGGCCCAUCCCUGUCCCCGCGCCACCCCAGAUUGCCACCUCCACCAGCCUCCUGGCUGCCCAGUCACUUGUGCCACCCCCUGGGCUGCCUGGCUCCAGCACCCCAGGAGUUUUGCCUUACUUCCCACCUGGCCUGCCGCCCCCAGACGCCGGGGGAGCCCCUCAGUCUUCCAUGUCAGAGUCACCUGAUGUCAACCUUGUGACCCAGCAGCUAUCUAAGUCACAGGUGGAGGACCCCCUGCCCCCUGUGUUCUCAGGCACACCAAAGGGCAGUGGGGCUGGCUACGGUGUUGGCUUUGACCUGGAGGAAUUCUUAAACCAGUCUUUCGACAUGGGCGUGGCUGAUGGGCCACAGGAUGGCCAGGCAGAUUCAGCCUCUCUCUCAGCCUCCCUGCUUGCUGACUGGCUCGAAGGCCAUGGCAUGAACCCUGCCGAUAUUGAGUCCCUGCAGCGUGAGAUCCAGAUGGACUCCCCAAUGCUGCUGGCUGACCUGCCUGACCUCCAGGACCCCUGAGGCCCACAGCCUGUGCCUUGCUGCCACAGUAGACCUAGUUCCAGGAUCCAUGGGAGCAUUCUCAAAGGCUUUAGCCCUGGACCCAGCAGGAUCUUACUCUGUCGCCCAGACUGGAGUGCAGUGGUGUGAUCAUGGCUUCCUGCAGCCUCACCCUCCCGGGCUCAAGCAAUCCUCCGUCCUUGGCCUCCCAAAGUGCUGGGAUUAUCGGCAUGAGCCACUGAGCCUGGCCCUGUGUUAAUUCUUUUGUAAAAGUUUGGUAGAAUUCUUCAGGGAAAUCACGUGGGGCUGGAGUUUUUUUUUUUUUUUUCCUGAGAAAUAUUGUGAUACAUCUUUUAGGCCUCCAUGGUUUUUCAAGAGAUGUUUGUUGUCAUUUAAAUUGCUUUCCCCCUGUAAAUAAAGCAUUUUUGCCUAGGUGCUUUAUAUAUUAUUUUCUUAGUUUUUAGUUUUCAGAAAUUUAUAAUGUGUUUUGCCAUGAAUUUUUGGGAGUUAUCCUGAUUAGGAUUUGGUCACUCCUUUUUUUUUUUUUUGAGACUGAGUCUUGCUCUGUCGCCCAGGCUGGAAGUGUAGUGGCACAGUCUCGGCUCACUGCAAGCUCUGCCUCCCGGGUUCACACCAUUCUCCUGCCUCAGCCUCCUGAGUAGCCAGGACUACAGGCACCUGCCACCACGCCCAGCUAAUUUUUUGUAUUUUUAGUAGAGACGGGGUUUCACCGUGUUAGCCAGGAUGGUCUCGAUCUCCUGACCUCAUGAUCCGUCCGCCUCGGCCUUCCAAAGUGCUGGGAUUACAGGCGUGAGCCACCGAGCCCGGCUUGCUCACCUUUUUAAUCUGUUGUUGGCUUAUGUCUCUUGUCAAAUUUGGGGAGUUUUCAGCCAUUAUUGAUUUGAGUACUUCUUUUUGCCUCACGCUCCUUCUUUCCUCUAAGGACUCCAGUGACACAAAUGUUAGAUCUUUGUUGUACGAUAGUUCCCCAGGUCCAUGAGUCUGUUCAUAUUUUUUCCAGUCUUUUUUCUCUCUGUUGUCAGAUUAGGUAGUUCUGUUGUUUUGUCUUGGAAUUCACUGAUUGUUCCCUCUGUCCUCUCCAUUCUGCUCUUGAGCCCAUCCACUGAGGUUUUUAUUUUGAUUAUUGUAUUUUUUGGUUUUAAAGUUUCCAUUUGGUUCUUUAUAGCUCCUUCUUUUUUUUUUCUUUUACUUUUUUUUUUUUUUUGCUGAGGCUUUCUAUGUUUUCAUUUGUUUCGAGUGUGUUUGCAGUUGCUCAUUGAAGCAUUUUAUCACAGCCAUUUUAAACCUUUGUCAGCUAAUCCUGACAUCCCAGUCAUCUCAGUCUUGGCAUCUAUCAGUUAUCCUUUGUCAUUCAGUUUGAGAUUUGCUGGUUCUUUAUAUGAUUAAUACUUUUUUAUUGAAACGUGGACAUUUUGUAUUAUGUUAUGAAAUGCUGGGUCUUAUUUAAACCUGUUUUUUGUUUGUUUGUUUGUUUUUUUGAGACUGAGUCUUGCUCUGUCACCCAGGCUGGAGUGCAGUGGCGUAAUCUUGGCUCACUGCAACCUCCACCUCCCAGGUUCAAACGAUUCUCCUGCCUCAGCCUCCCGAGUAGUUGGGACUACAGAGACAUGCUACCAUGCCUGGCUAAAUUUUGUAUUUUUAUUAGAUUGGUGCAAAAGUAAUUGUGACUUUGCCAUUAAUGGCAAAAACACUUACUUUUGCAUCAACCUGAUAGUAGAGAUGGGCUUUCACCAUGUUGCCCAGGCUGGUCCGGAACUCCUGGCCUCAAGUGAUUCACCCACCUUGCCUUCCCUAAGUGUUGGGAUUACAGGUGUUGGCCACCACACCCAGCCUAAACUUGUUUUAGCUGGCCUCUGACACCCCUCUGGCCGGGAAAGGGGUGGCACUGCCUCAGUACCGCCAGGUGGGGGUAGAAGUCCAGGUUCCUCCGUUUGCUUCUGUUUACACUUAAGAGGGGGAUUCCCUGUUACUGUUGGACAGGGUGCAAGUUUCAGCUCCCCACGUGGUCUCCACUAACACUGCAAGGUCAGGGAGAGCACCUGUAAUGUCUGGGAUGCAAGUCCUGGCUCCCUACUUGGCCUUCUCUGUUACCACCCAGCUGGGGAUGUUGGGACCCCUCGUUACUGCCUAGUCAGGAGGAGGUCUAGGCUCCCCAUUCAGCCUUUGUGGCAUGGGUGGGUGGGGCUGCAUACUUUCCUGUGGCGUUUGGCUGCAGUAGGGUAUUUAUUGCCUAGGAAUUUUCUGUCUUGCCAGGCCGCCCUUUUCCUGGUCCUUUGGCUACAGAUAGCAGGUUUUGUUGAGGGUUUUUUUUUGUAGUGGCUGUUGGCAUUUCCAGACUGCCAGCUUCUCCAGUACCCAUUCUGGGAUAAUGAGACAAAAAGAAAGCCUAGGAGAGUCGCCACUGUCCUCAGUCCUGAUGUCCCUGGCCCGCCUGCCUUCUUUUCUCCACCUUUCAGAGUCUUCUUAUGUUUGUCUUGUACAUGAUGUCCCAGGUUUUUAGUUGUACUUAGCAGGAAGUACAGGAAAAAAUAUACCUACUCCAUCUUCCCACAAGUGGAAGUUCCUUAAAAAGAAUUAUGAGGCCUAAGUUACAUAGAGUGACGUAGACCAGUCUUUACAAACGUGUACCUGGGAACUACCACCCAGAUUCCUAGCAUCACAGCAGGCUUCCUGUGAGGAGUGACACAUUUUUAUUUGCAUCUGUAAAAAAUUGGGCUGGCUGCCAGGUGGAAAAUGGAUUGGUGGGAGGCAGGGGAGGGACUGAUGGCCUGAGUGUUCUCAGACACCAUCAUCUGUCCCUGAUGGCUCCUGUGGGUGGGGUGGGGUGGCCUGGGCUCCAUGGGUCACCUCCCUCCUCUUUGGCACUGGGUCAUCAGUCAGGGUCAAGCAGUCCAGGGCUGCCUGAUGUGGGUGGGGAACCUCUGCUCUUUCUGGCAUCAGACUCAUUGUCAGGAAGCAGAAGCACAUUUCAGUUUUUGUACACCCUCUUUCCUGACCUCUGGGGUCAGCUGUUAAUUUCCUGUUGCCUAACUGUACUCCACAUUCAUUUUGUCAGCAAACAUGCUGUAUUAUGGAUUGCUAAGGACAUGACUGCUGUGGCUGCUUUGCUCUGCCCGGCCCUGGAUUAUGGUGUGGUGAUAGGGAGAGCAAAUGGGGUUAGAGAGAGAGGAAGAAGAAACACCGUGUGUCUGCAAGAGAAAGAGACAGAGAGAAACAAAUGGUAGAGACUAGAUAGGAGAUAGGCUUGGCUGCAGGUCACUUGGAUAGCCUCAGUUUCCUCGUCUGUAAAAUGGAGCCAAUAUUUUCACCUUUAGAGAAAUGUGGGGAGGAUGGGAGAUUCUGUUGUUAGAAGGACUCAGCAUAUAGUAGGAGUCCAGUAAAUAGACAUGAUCAUUAUUAUCAUUGUAAUAAACUAAUGGAAAACUACUUCUUUAUCCAUUGGAUGUCUGUCCUCAGGCCUACUGUGUAAAAAGCCCUUCUUCUGUAAGAAUCUCUUGGAUUUUCCUUUGACAAAGAAAAAGAGGCGAGGCCUUGUGGGGGUUGGUCUGAGAUCCAAGAUGGGGCAGGACUGAUGCUUGGGGACAUCUGGGCACACUGAGGUAAGUGGCCCAGACUUGCUUCCAAGGCUGAUUAACAGGGUAGCAUUGGCUGGGCCCGGUGGCUCACGCCUGUAAUCCCAACACUUUGGGAGGCCGAGGUGAGCGGAUCACAAGGUCAGGAGUUCGAGACCAUCCUGGCCAACAUAGUAAAACCCCGUCUCCACUAAAAACACAAAAAUUAGCUGGGUGUGGUGGCGUGUGCCUGUAAUCCCAGCUACUUGGGAAGCCGAGGCAGGAGAAUCACUUGAACCAGAGGGUCGGAGGUUGCAGUGAGCCAAGAUGGUGCCACUGCACUCUAGCCUGGCAACAGAGCAAGACUCCGUCCCCCAAAAAAAAACAAAAAACAAAAAACCAGGCUAGCAUUUAUUGAGCACCUACUAUUCACCAGGCUUUCUGCACUGACCCUACAUGGGAGUAAUUGUAUCUUCAGUUUUACCACUGAGGAAACUGAGCUUGAGUGAGAGAAGUGACUUUGCCUAGUGAGUUGAGUGGAACCAGUAUUUGAACCAAGGCCUGUUUGGUGCCAAAGCCUGGGUGCUGCCCAGGACGCACAUAACCUUGCCAGUCAGGUUGAAGGAUGGCAUAGGUCGGUGGGCCAACAGAGGCUUACAUGCAGAGGCCUGGACUGCAGCAGGCCUCUGGCUCCGUUUUCUGCCUAUCAAACCAGCUGCAUGGGGCUGCCUCUCACUCCAGAGCAUAGUCUGUGGAGGGAAGUUUGCUCCACAAGGGCCAGCUGGCCACAUCUGUCAACUUCCUGGCUGACUGCCUGGAUACUCCAGUCCCAGGGUCCUAAUGGGCAGUAUGCAAGUUGGAAUGGGGGUGGUACAGCAGAGGAGAGGGGUCUGGAGCCUGGUCUCGAUUCUGACUUGGAGGAGGGGAGAUGAUACCUAAUGGUAGGUUGGCUGCCAGCAGCCAGGGACUGCUAGCCAGUGUGGACAUCCAGAUGCUCGAUGAGCAUCUGAAAAUUCUCCUACAAGGCCAGGCACGGUGGCUCACGCCUGUAAUUCCAGCACUUUGGGAGGCCGAGGUCGGUGGAUCACCUGAGGUCAGGAGUUUGAGACCAGCCUGGCCAACAUGGUGAAACCCCGUCUCUACUAAAAAUACAAAAAGUUAUUUGGGCUUGGUGGCAGGCGCCUGUAAUCCCAGCUAUUUGGGAGGCUGAGGCAGGAGAAUUGCUUGAACCUGCGAAUCAGAGGUUGCAGUAAGCCAAGAUAGUGCCACUGCACUCCAGCCUGGCGACAGAGCAAGACUCCAUCUCAAAAAAAUAAAAUAAAAUUGGCUGGGUGCAGUGGUUCACACCUGUAAUCCCAGCACUUUGGGAGGCCGAGGCGGGUGGAUCACGAGAUCAGGAGUUCGAGACCAGCCUCUCCAACAUGGUAAAACCCCAUAUCUACUAAAAAUACAAAAAUUAGCUGGGCGUGGUGGUGCGCGCCUGUAAUGCCAGCUACUCAGGAGGCUAAGGCAGGAGAAUCACUUGAAUCCGGGAGGCGGAGGUUGCAGUGAGCCAAGAUCCUGCCACUGCACUCCAGCCUGGGUGACAGAGCGAGACUCCAUCUCAAAAAAUAAAAAUAAAUAAAUAAAUAAAUAAAUAAAAAUAAAGUAAAGCUGUUUUUGACAUGGCAGAUAGAUAACCGAAAAACUCCCUGCAUAAGAGACAAAAAUCAUCCUUUAACAUUUGUAGCCAAAAUCAGCAAAGAUCAAUAUGUAUGAUUUUGCUCUGUGUUGGUGAAGAUAUCCUUAAAUUAUACUUACCCAAGUGGAAACAGGAUGAGAAUAGUAAUAUGUGCUACAGUGCUAUUUGUUAUAGCAAAAUGUUAGCAAUGCUCUAGAUGUCUGUCACUAGAGGCCUAGCUCGAGGAUGGGGUCAGUACUCAAAAGCGCCUAAUGCAAAGUGGCUGUUGAAAGUAGGAAGGUGUCUCCUCCAGUCUGUCCCGGUGGACGCUCAGAGUAAUGGUUCAAGAACACAAAUCUGUUCACAUGUAUCCCUGCUUAAAAUAGUUUAUGGCUCCACUGACAUGCAGCGAAAAUCCAAAAAUCUGCCACAUGGCCCUCCAUCCUCUGUUCCCUGCUGACUGACCUUGGUCCCCUUACCCUGCCUCUAUCCUUCCUUCUUGCCAGCCCUCACCCUGUGCUCCAGCUGCACCCACACUGAACCUGCCCUGCCAACUCACUGCCAGGCCUUUGCACGUGCUGUCCCCUGUGUCUGUAGUCCCAGCCCCCAACAACGUUUACCCUGCUAACUCCCUUAUCCUGCAAGACUGAGCCUUGCUGACUCCCAAGUCUGAGUGAGGGGCUUCCUCCAGGCUCCCACAUUUCCCUGGGCAGCUCCUAUACAGCAGGGGAUGUGCUGCAAGGCAGCUGCUUCCUUGUUUGCACAUAGUCUUUGAGCUCCUCAGGGCAGGGACCUGUCAAAAGACAAAAUGACAAUAAAUUUAGUUUAAAGACCUAAUUGGCUUUUAUUUGAAAUUUUAGAAUUGGGCAACACCUCAUUCUUAUAAAACAAUGAUUAUUUGACGAGCUGAAUAGAGGAGAUUGGCUUUACAGGCAGAAAGGGCUGAAGUAAGCAGACAGAACAAAAAGCAGACUGAUUUCAAAGUUACUUUCCUUGUAAAAGUUAAAGCAGAGGGGACUUCCUAUCAUGCUGGCUAAAAGUGGCCUGUUUGGGGAUUUGGCUAUUAUCUCUUUGUGUCCUGAUUUCUUGGAAGAUCAGAUAAACAAUUUAGUUUUGGCUUUGUAGCAUGGAACUUCGGCAUGAGUGAAUCCAUUUUGGUUUGAUCUGUUGGAGCUUAUCCAGGAGCUCAAUCCAGACCAAUAACCUCCUAUAAAUCUUAUUUAACAGACCACAUCUUGUUAUUUGUUGUAGUCUCUGCAUCCAGCAUCACUCUGGGUACAUGCUUGGUAUAUAGGAGGCAUUUCAUAAGUUUGAAGAGCAAAGGGGAGGAGAGAGAAGGAUGAGGAAGGGUUCCCUGUAGAAACUCUGAGCCAACCUGGGCCUGGGUGAUGGGUUUCAUGAAGGCAGACAGAGACUGGCAAGGGCGUUCCAGGCAAGGAGAGUGGCUGGGGCAAAGGUGUGGAGGUGUGAAUGUUGGGAGAACACAGCACACAGCAGGCCAGAAAGGAGGGGACGGCCCGGGAUUGGGAGUCAGGGCAUUUUAUUUCUUCCAGGGCUGUCAUUGGAAGGUUUCCUUAGCUCUCUAAACCUCAGUUUCCUCAUUCAGAAAGCAGGGCUAAUAGUCACUGUAUUAUGAGAAUCAGUUGAGGUAGUAGGGCACAUAACAACACAUUGUGAACCCUAAAUUGCUAAGCAAAUGUUGGAUAAUUGUACUAUUAUUAGUUGUUUCAGGAUGCCUAGUACCAGAUUGAUGAUGGGGGGGCUUCAGAAGUAAAGCUGGGGAGCUCUGACUUCCUUCCAGCUGCUGAUGGGAAGGCCUGGCCUUUGAUGCUCACACAAGGGGACCUGGCACAGACACAGCUGUGGCGAGAGCAAGGAGGGCCACUGGGCCUGGGGGACAGGAGGAGGGCAGCCACAGGGAGCAGAUGCUGCUGCAGCUUGGGGCCAGGGUCAGGACCCGGAUGGGGAAGGCAGCCAUGUUGGCAUGGACACCAGCUCACCACAGCCAGCAGCACCCAGAGGCCAUUGGUUCAGCAGGACAGCAGGUGUCCCAAGCCCUGCAAGAAAGCAACGUACAGGCAUGGACUAAGGGAUGACACCAAGGGAGGGCUUACACACCUCUCCGUGACUGGCCCAUCACCCUUACCUCUCCUCGCUUCACAUGCUGCAUUCCAGGUGAGCUGUUUAUCUUGCAGCUCUGUGUCUUUGCAUGAGCUGGUCUCUUUGCCGCACAUGUUGUUUGCCUGUCCCCAUUCCUUUGCCUGUCCACCUCAUAUUCAUCCUUCAGAUGCAGCUUUUGUGGGAAGCCUUCCUAGGUGCCCAGGUCUGAGCAAGGUGCCUUUGCUUGUUCCUCGUGCAUCUCUCCUCACUCUACCUAAUCAGAGAACUUAUCACCCCGUACUUGUUUAUUGGCCUUUCUGUCUCCCCAGUAGACGGGAAGCACCCUGAGGGCUCAUCAGUCUACUCUCAGAGCCUAGUAUGAUGUCUGGUGUAUUGCUCAAUAAAUGUUUGUAACAUGGACAGAUGGAUGAAUCCAUGCACGGAUGGAUAAGUGUAAGAGUAGAUGGUGGAUGAGUAGAUACACAGAUAGUGGAGGAGUGAUGGAUGAAAAGAUGUGUGUAUGUGUGGGUGGAUGGAUGGAGCAAAUCAUGCAUGUGUGCAUGCGUGGAUUGGUAGUUGGAGAAUGGAUGGAUGAAAGAAUAUAAGAAAUGAGGUCAGGUGUGGUGGCUCAUAUCUAUAAUCCCAGCACUUUGGGAGGUGGAGGUGGGCAGAUCACUUGAGGUCAGAAGUUCAAGACCAGCCUGGCCAACAUGGUGAAAACCCAUCUCUACUAAAAAUACAAAAGUUUCUACUAAAAAUACAAAAAAAUUAGCCAGGUGUGGUGGCGCACAGUUGUAAUCCCAGGUACCCGGGAGGCUGAGGCAGGAGAAUUGCCUGAACCCAGGAGAUGGAGGUUGCAGUGAGCCGAGAUUGUGCCACUGCACUGCCGCCUGGGUGAUAGAGCAAGACUCUGUCUCAAAAAAAAAAAAAAAAAGAAAGAAAUGAAUGGUGGAUACAUAGAUGAAUUAAUGGAUGGAUAAUGAGUGCAUGGGUGAUUGAGUGAGUGGAUGGAUAAAUAGGUAGAUAAUGCAUUUAUCUUGAUGGAUAAAUAGGUAGAUAAUCAGUGCAUGCAUGGAUAGAUGGUUGGAGGAAUGGAGAAUGAAUGAAUGCAUGGAUGGGUGAGUGGGCGGAAGAUGAACAAGAUGGUGACUGUGUCUUCCAAAGUUCAAGUGCUGGAAACUUAAUCCUCAAUGCAAUGGUUUGAGAGAUGGGACAUUUAAGAGGUGAUUAAAGGUCACCUCAGGAAUGGAUUAAUGCUGUCACCUCGGGAAUGAGUUCUUUUAUAAAAGGAUGAGUUUGGUCCCCUUUCCUCUCUCUCUUGUCCCUGUAAUGGCUUCUGCCAUGUGAUGACACAGCAGUAAGACCCUCAUCAGAUGCAGCCCUUUGUUCUUAGACUUCCCAGCCUCCAGAACCUUGAGCCAAAUACAUUUCUGCUCAUUAUAAAUUACCCAGUCUGUGGUUAUUGCAGCAGAAACAGGCUAAGACCCAGUGCUUACCAGGGCAAUGCCCACAGUGCCAGGCUUCAUGAAGGCCAGCUCCCAGGCUAAGAGGUGGGAGAGGACUGGGGGCGUUCCACCCAAAGGGACCUCUGAUCUCAUUGGCCCCCCGCCGACAUUCACACAUCAGGAAACAGGCCCAGAGAAGAUCAGGGAUUUGCCUGAGGUCACACAGCAAGCUGGGGUCAGAACCAGUCAGAACUCAGUUGCCUGUUUCCAAUAUUCUGCAUAGAUAGAGGCUGGACUGAUUUUUAUCCCCUUCUGAGGAAAGUGAUGGCAAACUGAGACACAGCAAAACUACAAACUCUUUCCAAGGCUUGUUGUAAUAACUAACUUUAUUUCUGCCACCAAACAGACCAUGGAAUGUAGUGGCUAAGAGCUUGGAUUGGGGAGCCUGAUGGCUUGGGUUUGGAUUCCAGCUCUGCCAUUAAUAGCUGUGUGGUGUUAGACAAGUGACUUAACCUCUCUGUGCUUCAGUUCCCUCAUCUAUACAAUGGAAGUGAUAUAGUACCUCCCUCAUAGGUUGUGUUACUCGGAGUGAGCUUAUCACAUAAAGUGCUUGGAACAGCGCCUGUUGGGUAAGGAUGUAUGAUGUGUGCGUGUGCGUGUAAGGCAGUAAGAGUGAGCCCGUGUGUAAAUGUCCAUGAGCAUGAGGCCUGAAGGUACACACAUAUUUGUGUGUGAGUAUGAAGGAGUGAGCAUGUGAAUGGAUGUGGAUGUGCAAGUGCGGUUGUGAGGGUGUAACUGUGUAUGCAUGUUUGUGUGUGUGUGUGAGCACUGUGGGUCUAUAUUGGGCAAGGUGGAGUCGUGGAUGUGCAUGUGGCACAAGUGUGUGAGCACAGAGUGUGGGAUACAUGGAGUAUUUUGACCAUAUGUGUAUGGUAUGUGUGAGGAUUUACAUGGAAUGGUAUGUUGGGGGAGGGCUGACCAGGUGUGUGCAUGCAUGCAUGUGUGUGUGCGUGUGCGUUUGUGUGUGAAGCUGGCUCUUGCAUACAUCAAGGGACUCAGAAACCUCCCCAAACAGGGUUCCAGUCUGGAAAACUGUAUUUUUGACUCCUGAGG